rnacentral:rRNA from 1 species
GAAAGGAUUUAUUCGGUGCAGGAUGGGCCCGCAUCUGAUUAGCUAGUUGGUGAGAUAACAGCCCACCAAGGCGACGAUCAGUAGCCGACCUGAGAGGGUGACCGGCCACAUUGGGACUGAGACACGGCCCAAACUCCUACGGGAGGCAGCAGUGGGGAAUAUUGCACAAUGGGCGAAAGCCUGAUGCAGCAACGCCGCGUGAAGGAAGAAGGGUUUCGGCUCGUAAACUUCUAUCAACAGGGACGAAAGAAAUGACGGUACCUGAAUAAGAAGCCCCGGCUAACUACGUGCCAGCAGCCGCGGUAAUACGUAGGGGGCAAGCGUUAUCCGGAAUUACUGGGUGUAAAGGGUGAGUAGGCGGCAUGGUAAGCCAGAUGUGAAAGCCUUGGGCUUAACCCGAGGAUUGCAUUUGGAACUAUCAAGCUAGAGUACAGGAGAGGAAAGCGGAAUUCCUAGUGUAGCGGUGAAAUGCGUAGAUAUUAGGAAGAACACCAGUGGCGAAGGCGGCUUUCUGGACUGAAACUGACGCUGAGGCACGAAAGCGUGGGGAGCGAACAGGAUUAGAUACCCUGGUAGUCCACGCCGUAAACGAUGAGUGCUAGGUGUCGGGGAGGAAUCCCCG